rnacentral:rRNA from 1 species
UACGAAGGGGGCGAGCGUUGUUCGGAUUUACUGGGCGUAAAGGGCACGUAGGCGGCGCGAGAAGUCGAGUGUGAAAGCCCCGGGCUCAACCUGGGAAUUGCGCUCGAUACUCUAGUGCUUGAGUUCGGGAGAGGAGCGUGGAAUUCCCAGUGUAGAGGUGAAAUGCGUAGAUAUCUGGAGGAACACCGGUGGCGAAGGCGGCAUCCUGGACCAACACUGACACUGAGGAGCGAAAGCCAGGGGAGCAAACGGG